GCGCUAACAGAUGAGCCCAAGUCGGAUUAGCUAGUUGGUAGGGUAAAGGCCUACCAAGGCGACGAUCCGUAACUGGUCUGAGAGGACGACCAGUCACACCGGAACUGAGACACGGUCCGG
rnacentral:rRNA from 1 species